rnacentral:sRNA from 2 species
ACAAUGAUUAAUGUGCUUUUCUAUAUUAUCAAUUUUUUAUAAUAGUUACAUUUUAUAGUGGAUUAUAAAUUACUAAUAAAAAAUUAAAUAUAAUUCAAAAUUAUUGAUAUAUAGGGUGGAUAAUUUUGUCAAUUUGAAAGUGAUUUCUAAUUAUCUUCAAGCCGUUUAAAAAGUAUGAAAUCCGUCAAUCUAUAACGCCCUUGGGCUGAUACAACACCGAGCCACGCGUAGAGACACCCUCUCGGAACCGGACGGCCCAGAUAUCACCCACAUAGCAUCACUACCAGUACCGAUGCAAAAGAACACCGCUUCUAUCUCUAAGGCAUGAAAGGCGCUUCCACAUGUCGUAUAACAUUUAAAAGAAAUGGGUGAUCUGGGUAUGUUGUACAAAGAAUCUGAUGAAGGUGAAGAAAUAGAUCAUUUCCUCAACACGUCAUACCUAUCUCUUGUUUAUAUGGACUCAGAUUGAGUAGAACUUUUGAACAGUGAAUGUAAUCUAUCCCAGAUUUCAUCUUCAAGUUAGUAGAAGUAUCUAUUUUGUAAUAUUCACUUAAACAAUCUUACAUAUUCUUAAGUUUUAAUGAGAGAAUAUGUGAUACUUAGUAAAAUAAUUUAAAGACUAUA